ACGAAGGGUGCUAGCGUUGUUCGGAAUGACUGGGCGUAAAGGGUGCGUAGGCGGCCAGAAACGUCUGAUGUGAAAUCCCUGGGCUUAACCUAGGAACUGCAUUGGAUACGGUCUGGCUAGAGUCCGCGAGAGGAAGAUGGAAUUGUGUGUGUAGAGGUGAAAUUCGUAGAUAUGCACAAGAACACCGGUGGCGAAGGCGAUCUUCUGGAGCGGUACUGACGCUGAGGCACGAAAGCGUGGGGAGCAAACAGG
rnacentral:rRNA from 1 species